rnacentral:rRNA from 1 species
GAGUUUGAUCGUGGCUCAGGAUGAACGCUGGCGGCAGGUCUGACACAUGCAAGUCGAACGGUAAGGGAGCAAUCCCCUAGAGUGGCGAACGGCUGAGUAACACGUAGGAACCUACCCUCGGGUUCGGGAUAACAGAUCGAAAGAACUGCUAAUACCGAAUAUAUCCGCAAGGAGGAAAGAUUUAUCACCCGAGGAGGGGCCUGCGGCGUAUUAGCUUGUUGGUGGGGUAACGGCCUACCAAGGCAGUGAUGCGUAGCUGGUCUGAGAGGACGAUCAGCCAGACUGGGACUGAGACACGGCCCAGACUCCUACGGGAGGCAGCAAUUAGGAAUCUUUUCGCAAUGGGGGAAACCCUGACGGAGCGACGCCGCGUGCAGGAGGAAGGCCUUCGGGUUGUAAACUGCUUUUAUCUGCGACGAUUAUGACGGUAGCAGAAGAAUAAGGACCUGCU